AUUGAACGCUGGCGGCAUGCUUUACACAUGCAAGUCGAACGGUAACAGGUUAAGCUGACGAGUGGCGAACGGGUGAGUAAUGCAUCGGAACGUGCCCGAUCGUGGGGGAUAACGCAGCGAAAGCUGCGCUAAUACCGCAUACGAUCUGAGGAUGAAAGCGGGGGACCGUAAGGCCUCGCGCGAUCGGAGCGGCCGAUGUCAGAUUAGGUAGUUGGUGGGGUAAAGGCCCACCAAGCCGACGAUCUGUAGCUGGUCUGAGAGGACGACCAGCCACACUGGGGCUGAGACACGGCCGAGACUCCUACGGGAGGCAGCAGUGGGGAAUUUUGGACAAUGGGCGAAAGCCUGAUCCAGCAAUGCCGCGUGCAGGAAGAAGGCCUUCGGGUUGUAAACUGCUUUUGUACGGAGCGAAAAGGUCCUUUCUAAUACAAGGGGCUCAUGACGGUACCGUAAGAAUAAGCACCGGCUAACUACGUGCCAGCAGCCGCCGUAA
rnacentral:rRNA from 1 species